rnacentral:rRNA from 1 species
CCUACGGGAGGCAGCAGUCGAGAAUCAUUCACAAUGGGGGAAACCCUGAUGGUGCGACGCCGCGUGGGGGAAUGAAGGUCUUCGGAUUGUAAACCCCUGUCAUGUGGGAGCAAAUUAAAAAGAUAGUACAACAAGAGGAAGAGACGUCUAACUCUGUGGCAGCAGCCGCGGUAAUACAGAAGGCUCAAGCGUUGUUUGGAAACACUGGGCGUAAAGCGGGCGGAGGCUGUUUCGUAAGUCGUAUGUGAAAGGCUCGGGCUCAACCCGCGGACGGCACAUGAUACUGCGAGACUCGAGGAAAGGAGGGGGAACCGGAAUUCUCGGUGUAGCAGUGAAAUGCGUAGAU